GAACUCGGCAAAUUGCUCCCGUGCCUUCGGCAUAAGGGAGACCCCCUGCGGUGAUGAGCGGCGGGGGGUGGCACAGGCCAGGGGGUAGCGACUGUUUACCAAAAACACAGGAGCGUGCGAAGGCGCAAGCCGCUGUAUACGCUCUGACGCCUGCCCGGUGCCGGAAGGUUAAGAGGAUCCGUCAGCUUCUGCGAAGCGGUGAAUUCAAGCCCCGGUAAACGGCGGUGGUAACUAUAACCAUCCUAAGGUAGCGAAAUUCCUUGUCGGGUAAGUUCCGACCUGCACGAAUGGCGUAACGACUUCCCCACUGUCUCGACCAGGAGCUCGGCGAAAUUGCAGUACGAGUAAAGAUGCUCGUUAAGCGCAGAAGGACGAAAAGACCCCGGGACCUUUACUAUACCUUGGUAUUGGCAUUAGGCGCGGAUUGUGUAGCGUAGGCGGGAGGCUUCGAGGCGGGUGCGCCAGCAUCCGCGGAGCCGCAAGGUGAAAUACCGCUCUGUUCUCGUUUGAUGUCUAACCUCGAACAGUCAUCCUGUUCAGGGACAGUGCCUGGCGGGUAGUUCAACUGGGGCGGUUGCCUCCCAAAGAGUAACGGAGGCGCUCAAAGGUCCGCUCGGCCCGGUUGGCAAUCGGGUGUCGAGUGUAAUCGCACAAGCGGGCUUGACUGCGAGAUCGACGGAUCGAGCAGGGACGAAAGUCGGAGAUAGUGAUCCGGUGCCGGCGCACGGGCGCGGCAUCGCUCAACGGAUAAAAGGUACCCCGGGGAUAACAGGCUGAUCAUUCCCAAGAGUCCAUAUCGACGGGAUGGUUUGGCACCUCGAUGUCGGCUCGUCGCAUCCUGGGGCUGGAGCAGGUCCCAAGGGUUCGGCUGUUCGCCGAUCAAAGCGGCACGCGAGCUGGGUUCAGAACGUCGUGAGACAGUUUGGUCUCUAUCCUCUGCGCUCGUUGGAAUCUUGAGGAGGCCUGCCCAUAGUACGAGAGGACCUGGGUGGACGAACCUCUGGUAUGCCGCUCGUCACGCCAGUGGCGCGGCCGGUUGGCUACGUUCGGAAGGGAUAACCGCUGAAAGCAUCUAAGCGGGAAGCCUUCUCCAAGAUAAGGAUUCCAUGCGGCCCCGAGCCGCUGAAGACCCCAUGCAGAACACGUGGUCGAUAGGCCGGACGUGGAAGCCCCGCGAGGGGUGGAGCCGACCGGUACUAAUGGUCGAGAGGCAACCCU
rnacentral:rRNA from 1 species